CCACAUUUUAUAGAAGAAACUGAGAUGCAAAAAUAUGAACUGGUUUAGAGGAAACUGAAGAAAUAGUAAUGAUCGUUGUAAUCACUGUCUUGGCUGAGAACUUCCUGUCUACAGACAAAGAGAACCCAUGAAAGUUUCAUUCUUGGAGAGAACAAAUGCAGAGGAAGAAGACUCUCAGCAGAUGACUCCAGUAGUUGUGUGUCCAGUGGUUCAGAGGGUGAAGAAACCAAAGGCAGGAAGGCAAGAACUCCUCCUGAAAGAAGGUUCACAUCAAGUAAGUGUGGACCAAGGGUAUUUUUAUUUAACUACUGAAUACUUAUUUGUGAUCAUUAUUCUGAAACUUUGAUUGUUCCUUCUGAACCUACUGAACUUACUCUUUUCUCACUGUGUCUACUUUCUAACUUUACUAAUGUCUGUCGCUUCCUCUGGAUAUUUUUACUGCUGAAUCUCUUCCAAUUUGUGAAUUCAGGUCUGAAGCCAAUAUUCUAGCAGUAUUCCAUUAAUUAUGAUAAUAUUCUAAACCAAUAAUAUGGGCCUGGGUCAACCUUUGGAAUGCAGAACCUGGAGUUUUUGCAUCAAUUACUAAUCAAGCAUUCAAUGGGGCAAUGGGCUAGAUGACCUCAGAGGUCCUGCUAACCUUAAAGAGUCUAUGGGUCCAAGGUGCUGACUUCACUAAUAAGUUUGUGUACUUUCCCUUCAACAGACAGCUCACUGGGUCAAAAAUCUGGCCAAAACCAUGAGUUCACUAAAACCUACCAUCAUCGGUAGGCCCAGGGAAUGCUGCAUCUUUGGCAAUACAUCACCCUCUAACUUCUGUGCUGUGCCCCCAUGCCUGUAAAGACCAUGAACAACUGGAGAUACAAGAGGACACUCAGAUUAUAAAAAAAGACUUUGGAUUUCAAGUUUUCAAACAUUCGUUUUAAUGCUUGUUUAAUGAAUUAAAUAAGCAUUAUGUUCUUCUCACCACAAAAAGACUCCCCUUACUUCUACCUUUUUGUUUUCCUCUCAGGGGAUGUGCAAUUCAUCUGAAAAAAAAAGAACACACCUAUAGGUCCAAAACUCUGGUACUCACGCAGCCCCAAAAACUCCCUGGUGGGAACCAGGUCAUGAAGAAAGUGGCAGAGUCUGCCCAGGAAUCAGGAAAGAAGGGCAUUUUCCAGGAGCCUUUUAUGACAACCUUGGAAGGGGGCCAAACUCUAGGUCUUAGCAUCCAGCUCUUCAGACACGGAUGCCUUGACACUACAAGGCAAUCACUUAGAUCCUUUGUCAAGCCUUAUGUAGACUUGGACUGUCUGCAGCACAUAACCUCACAUGCAGCAGCAAUUCUGAGUUAGGUUUAUCUGUGCAAAAAGGAAGGUUCAUGCCUCCUACAGGUAUUUUUAAGAAUUGCAGCUAACAGUGUAUGACCCCUUGCAGACAGCAAGCUCUGUAGCAUUCCCUCAAGCCCCUGGCUCCUCUUGAAGCCUCCUGGCCUGAGAGCUGCAUUUCCUGUCCUGUCACAUUGCUGUGUAUUGGCCGCUACCAAGGAUGGUCAUUCAUUUGAAAUAUUUUGCCACUCCCCUAGCCAGCAAUUUUCCUUUCAAUAAGAGGCACAGAGACCAUUCUAAGUUAUGAUGUCCCUUCUUUGGAAAAUUUUCUCCCCUCAUUAUGUCCUUCUUUAUCCUCUUCAGAACCUGCAGCUUGAGAAGAACCUUGCAUUGUGGAGAGGCCUGGCCUCCUCCCACCCCCUUGCUUCCCUUGGUGUACCUACCAAGAAGUAGGCCUGUGGGGAAAAAACCUCAGAAAGUUACAGAGAACCACCUGGAAUGAUGACACAGAAUGAUGAGAAGGGAUGCUUGCAAGCUUUCUUUGAGGCAAGGUGUGCUUGAACUAGAUUCCAUUUAAAAUUUUUUUAAUUAAAAAAAAGCCACUGUUUAAGUUGA